GGAGCGAGUGGGUCUGUUGCAUUUCCCCGUCGUGGCAGGCGACGAACAUGACCGGAGCACAUUUUUAAGCACCGAGAGAAAUCCAGAUAACGAGCGUACAGUGGCUUCGAUAGAGCAAAAUACACAAAAAACUGAAACCGUGAGAAGCAAUACGUUGACAGCUCGUUUCGUUGCGGGGGUUGAAAUAUCGCUUGCUGUGCAGUGCAUUGAAGUAGCUAGCUAGCGAGCUAGCGAAAUAUUACAGCGAACGCUGGUCACAGAGCCUGCUUGGACUUCUUAAUUUCUCUCUCAAAACGAGACAUAUUUACAACUACAAAGACGUAAGCGCACGGGCUCUGGAGAUCUGCAGGGAGAGCAUCGCAAAUGAAAGGUGCAGCCUGACUGCGUGUCUCUGGGUGCGGGACUGAAGCUCUCUCUCUCUCUCUCUCUCCGCGUCUGAUGUCCUGCGUGAGGGUUGCCAUGGAGACCGCAGCAGACUGACGCGCUGUGACCUCCGACCUGCGACCUGCGACCUGCGAAUGCCCAGUGCGCAUCCGAGGGUGGGGCCCGCCUCAGUCUCGCGUGAUUGGCUGCUGGAUGGAACUGAGGUGAAUGGAACACAUGCCCAAGGAGCAGGACCCUAACCUAUCAGAGGGAGAAGAGAA